GAAAGCUAUUUAGGUAGCGCCUCGUGAAUUCAUCUCCGGGGGUAGAGCACUGUUUCGGCAAGGGGGUCAUCCCGACUUACCAACCCGAUGCAAACUGCGAAUACCGGAGAAUGUUAUCACGGGAGACACACGGCGGGUGCUAACGUCCGUCGUGAAGAGGGAAACAACCCAGACCGCCAGCUAAGGUCCCAAAGUCAUGGUUAAGUGGGAAACGAUGUGGGAAGGCCCAGACAGCCAGGAUGUUGGCUUAGAAGCAGCCAUCAUUUAAAGAAAGCGUAAUAGCUCACUGGUCGAGUCGGCCUGCGCGGAAGAUGUAACGGGGCUAAACCAUGCACCGAAGCUGCGGCAGCGACACUAUGUGUUGUUGGGUAGGGGAGCGUUCUGUAAGCCUGCGAAGGUGUGCUGUGAGGCAUGCUGGAGGUAUCAGAAGUGCGAAUGCUGACAUAAGUAACGAUAAAGCGGGUGAAAAGCCCGCUCGCCGGAAGACCAAGGGUUCCUGUCCAACGUUAAUCGGGGCAGGGUGAGUCGACCCCUAAGGCGAGGCCGAAAGGCGUAGUCGAUGGGAAACAGGUUAAUAUUCCUGUACUUGGUGUUACUGCGAAGGGGGGACGGAGAAGGCUAUGUUGGCCGGGCGACGGUUGUCCCGGUUUAAGCGUGUAGGCUGGUUUUCCAGGCAAAUCCGGAAAAUCAAGGCUGAGGCGUGAUGACGAGGCACUACGGUGCUGAAGCAACAAAUGCCCUGCUUCCAGGAAAAGCCUCUAAGCAUCAGGUAACAUCAAAUCGUACCCCAAACCGACACAGGUGGUCAGGUAGAGAAUACCAAGGCGCUUGAGAGAACUCGGGUGAAGGAACUAGGCAAAAUGGUGCCGUAACUUCGGGAGAAGGCACGCUGAUACGUAGGUGAAGUCCCUUGCGGAUGGAGCUGAAAUCAGUCGAAGAUACCAGCUGGCUGCAACUGUUUAUUAAAAACACAGCACUGUGCAAACACGAAAGUGGACGUAUACGGUGUGACGCCUGCCCGGUGCCGGAAGGUUAAUUGAUGGGGUCAGCGCAAGCGAAGCUCUUGAUCGAAGCCCCGGUAAACGGCGGCCGUAACUAUAACGGUCCUAAGGUAGCGAAAUUCCUUGUCGGGUAAGUUCCGACCUGCACGAAUGGCGUAAUGAUGGCCAGGCUGUCUCCACCCGAGACUCAGUGAAAUUGAACUCGCUGUGAAGAUGCAGUGUACCCGCGGCAAGACGGAAAGACCCCGUGAACCUUUACUAUAGCUUGACACUGAACA
rnacentral:rRNA from 1 species